rnacentral:rRNA from 1 species
GAUGAACGCUGGCGGCAUGCCUAACACAUGCAAGUCGAACGAGUGGCGGACGGGUGAGUAAUGUCUGGGAAACUGCCUGAUGGAGGGGGAUAACUACUGGAAACGGUAGCUAAUACCGCAUACCAUCAGAUGUGCCCAGAUGGGAUUAGCUAGUGGGUGGGGUAACGGCUCACCAAGGCGACGAUCCAUAGCUGGUCUGCGAGGAUGGCCAGCCACACUGGAACUGAGACACGUCCCAGACUCCUACGGGAGGCAGCAGUGGGGAAUAUUGCACAAGGGGCGCAAGCCUUAUGCAGCCAUGCCGCGUGUAUGAAGAAGGCCUUCGGGUUGUAAAGUACUUUCAGCGGGGAGGCGUUACCAGCAGAAGAAGCACCGGCUAACUCCGUGCCAGCAGCCGCGGUAAUUC